rnacentral:lncRNA from 1 species
AGCUGCCUAGGCCUCCACAGAACACACACACACACAUCAGCCUAGGCCUCCACAGCACACACACAGCUUCCUAGGCCUCUACAACACACACGCACGCACACACACACAGACUGUCUAGGCCUCCACAGCACACACAUACACAUCAGCUUAGGCCUCCACAACACACACGCACACACAAUCAGCCUAGGCCUCCACAACACACACACACAGCUACGUAGGCCUCCACGACACACACACAGCUGCCUAGGCCUCCACAACACACACGCGCGCACACACCUGCCUAGGCCUCCACAACACACGUGCACACACACACACAGCUGCCUAGGCCUCCACAGAACACACACACACAGCUGCCUAGGCCUCCACAACACACACACACGCGCACACACCAGUCUAGGCCUCCACAACACACACACACACACACACACACACCUGCCUAGGCCUCCACAACACGCGCACACACACCAGUCUAGGCCUCCACAACACACACACACAC